rnacentral:rRNA from 1 species
AGCAACGCGCAGAACCUUACCAACCCUUGACAUCCUCGGACCGCCAGAGAGAUUUGGCUUUCACUUCGGUGACCGAGUGACAGGUGCUGCAUGGCUGUCGUCAGCUCGUGUCGUGAGAUGUUCGGUUAAGUCCGGCAACGAGCGCAACCCACAUCCUUAGUUGCCAGCAGUUCGGCUGGGCACUCUAAGGAAACUGCCCGUGAUAAGCGGGAGGAAGGUGUGGAUGACGUCAAGUCCUCAUGGCCCUUACGGGUUGGGCUACACACGUGCUACAAUGGCAGUGACAAUGGGUUAAUCCCAAAAAACUGUCUCAGUUCGGAUUGGGGUCUGCAACUCGACCCCAUGAAGUCGGAAUCGCUAGUAAUCGCGUAACAGCAUGACGCGGUGAAUACGUUCCCGGGCCUUGUACACACCGCCCGUCACACCAUGGGAGUUGGUUCUACCCGACGACGCUGCGCUAACCUUCGGGGGGCAGGCGGCCACGGUAGGAUCAGCGACUGGGGUGAAGUCGUAACAAGGUAACCGUAAAGGGCG